UCGGUGAUUCCGAGGUGCGGUGAAACUAUGGUGGAUACCAGUCGUGUGCGUUCAUGCAGAAACGACCACACAUACACCCACAUAUGUCCACUGACCCACCUGUAACUCCAACAACUAACCAUUAAAGAA